ACGUUUAUCGAUUUAUUAGCGUCGCGACGGUCGCGACAUAUAAAUUUUCGCAUAGAGAGUGUUUAGGGUAGUCAGCUAAAUAUUUUCAUUUCUACCAAUUUAAGAAGUGAAUUGAACUUAAAUAACAUUUCGCGGUCACGCCCGGAGCGCUAAACUCGACGCGAAUAGAAAAAUUUAGGCAAUAAAAUAAACGAUAAAAUGUCUUCUUCGACGAGUCCAUUGGUCUCGAAUCCAACUAAUAAAGUUGGUUCAACAAUUGUGCUAAAAAGUUUAUCAAUACUGUUAGGGCUGUUCUUCAUUUUCAUUGGAGCGAUGAAAAUUAGCCCGUACUUGAGCAAGGAAUUGCACAAAGAUUUGCGAAAGGAAUAUGUCAAAUAUGCGAAAGUCUUUCCUCUGUCGUCGAUCUUCGAUUUUAAAAUACCAAGUAAAUGGUAUCGACGGGUGGUUGGAGCCUUGGAGGUGGUUUGCGGUUUGGCUAUGGCCUUAAUACCAAGUCACAAAAUUAAGAACGCUGCCAACAUAAGUCUGUUGCUGUUAAUGUUUCUCGCUGUUUAUUCGCAUUACAUGGUCAGCGAUCCCUUUGAACGUUCGGGUCCAGCUUUGGUAUUCACAUUUAUGUUAUGCGGUCGUUUAGUGGUAUGGUAUCAGAUAGAAAUUACACAAUUCUAUUACAUCCUUGUUCAUGAUUAAUUUGCCUUUGUUACACUUACAAUUAUAAACUAUUGUCUACCGAUAUUUUUUACAAGCAAACGUGAAGCAGAAAUGGCCGAGGCUGCACAGAUUCAAGCGAACGGAGGUGUAAAACAGGACUAAAAACCACACGUAUCUCCAGUGAAAUUCGUACAGAGGACUGAUAUGAUUCGUAUUUUUUUGUCGUAUCAAACUUGGUUCGAUUUAGCCAAAAAUUCAUGAACAGCAAAAGUUUUCCCAAUUUUUGUUGCGUACACCCUAGUUUUUAAGUAAUAUUCGUGACAUUGGGUUCUUAGAACAAUUCGCAACAGUGAACUUUGUGAACCUCCGAACUGGGAACCCAUUUUAUUUAUUUUUAGUAUAAAAAUUUAUGUUCUGCUGUCCUGUAACUUAUUUCUGUUUCGGUGGUAUGUUUCAAAAUUUUUUUUAAUUUUAGUUUUUAAAUGUUUGAAGGUAAAAAAAGAGAGAGAGAAAAAAAAACGAACAAAAAUCUCACAAUUCUAGUCAUUAAAUGUGUGAUAAAAGAAACAUUAUACCCAAUACUUUCAAAACUAGUAAAAUAGUAAAAUUGCACGAAAACGAAUUCGCUUUAUCGAAUUUGUAAUGGGAUGUAAUAGAUUUUCAUAAAUUUUAUUGUGUUCAAGUAAAGAAUCUUCACAAUUUUACAU